AGAGUUUGAUCCUGGCUCAGGAUGAACGCUGGCGGCGUGCCUAACACAUGCAAGUCGAGCGAUCUUCUUCGGAAGAGAGCGGCGGACGGGUGAGUAACGCGUGGGUAACCUGCCUCAUACACAUGGAUAACAUACCGAAAGGUAUGCUAAUACAAGAUAAUAUAAGAGAUUCGCAUGGAUUUCUUAUCAAAGCUCCGGCGGUAUGAGAUGGACCCGCGUCUGAUUAGCUAGUUGGUAAGGUAACGGCUUACCAAGGCGACGAUCAGUAGCCGACCUGAGAGGGUGAUCGGCCACAUUGGAACUGAGACACGGUCCAAACUCCUACGGGAGGCAGCAGUGGGGAAUAUUGCACAAUGGGCGAAAGCCUGAUGCAGCAACGCCGCGUGAGCGAUGAAGGCCUUCGGGUCGUAAAGCUCUGUCCUCAAGGAAGAUAAUGACGGUACUUGAGGAGGAAGCCCCGGCUAACUACGUGCCAGCAGCCGCGGUAAUACGUAGGGGGCUAGCGUUAUCCGGAUUUACUGGGCGUAAAGGGUGCGUAGGUGGUUUCUUAAGUCAGGAGUGAAAGGCUACGGCUCAACCGUAGUAAGCUCUUGAAACUGGGAAACUUGAGUGCAGGAGAGGAAAGUGGAAUUCCUAGUGUAGCGGUGAAAUGCGUAGAUAUUAGGAGGAACACCAGUAGCGAAGGCGGCUUUCUGGACUGUAACUGACACUGAGGCACGAAAGCGUGGGGAGCAAACAGGAUUAGAUACCCUGAUAGUCCACGCCGUAAACGAUGAGUACUAGUGUCGGGGGUUACCCCCCUCGGUGCCGCAGCUAACGCAUUAAGUACUCCGCCUGGGGAGUACGCUCGCAAGAGUGAAACUCAAAGGAAUUGACGG
rnacentral:rRNA from 1 species